rnacentral:rRNA from 1 species
AUACGUAGGGUGCAAGCGUUAAUCGGAAUUACUGGGCGUAAAGCGUGCGCAGGCGGUUUUGUAAGACAGAGGUGAAAUCCCCGGGCUCAAACUGGGAACUGCCUUUGUGACUGCAAGGCUAGAGUACGGCAGAGGGGGAUGGAAUUCCGCGUGUAGCAGUGAAAUGCGUAGAUAUGCGGAGGAACACCGAUGGCGAAGGCAUUCCCCUGGGCCUGUACUGACGCUCAUGCACGAAAGCGUGGGGAGCAAACAGGAUUAGAUACCCUGGUAGUCCACGCCCUAAACGAUGUCAACUGGUUGUUGGGGAUUUAUUUUCUCAGUAACGAAGCUAACGCGUGAAGUUGACCGCCUGGGGAGUACGGCCGCGAGGUUAAAACUCAAAUGAAUUGACGGGG